GAAUGUUUAAUUUGGGGAAAUAUUUGAACUUCUCUCCUACUUACUAUCUUUCUUGUAUUUUGCUCUUUAUUUGUGUAAUAUUUAUAUAUUAUACAUAUGUAUAAUUUUUGUGUCUUUCUCAUAUAAGAGGAGGCAAGUGACAUUUAUGUUUGUGUGUCUAAGUUAUUUCACUUAACACUAUGUUCCCCAGACACCUCCAUUUAUCCACAAAUGCCUAAUUUUUAUCUGUCUUUAAGGAAGCACAGUACUUCAUUUUGUAUAAAUAUCACAUUUUCCUUAUCUAUUUGUAAGCACUCUUAACUCAAUAUUUUUUGGAAAAACAACCCCUAGGACUUUGUAAUAGACAUUUGACAGCCAAUUCCCUGCUCUGUUCCCAGUCUUUCCAGUCCUCCCCCCCAGUCACUGCAGGAUGUACCUCCCCCUUCUCCUGCCUGCCUACAUUAUCUGCUUCUGUUGUUUGUCACAUACUUGUCUCUUAGAAUUCUUCUGAUUUUAAAGCCACUUUUAGCUUAAAGUCAUUGUAGGUCUUUUCCUGAUGCCUCUGUCUUGAUUAUCCCAGGCCCCUGCAUACUUCUCGGGUAUAUUCUUGGUGUAGCUGGUAAAGACGCUCACGUCCUGUCAGAAGCGCAUAUGUUUUCUACUCCUUUAUGCUUUCGGGAGCCUUCAGCUCUGCCAAAGAAAGUAUUUAAGAAAAGCCUUCUGAAAGUGUUCUUAUCAUUUUUCUGGGCCCCGACCUCAUUUGUCAUUCCUCUUUUCCAUGGCAGUGUCUCUGAAACUUGAGUGCGCAUGCACACCUCGUAGACAGGUGCGAGAGAGCACCUACUGUGUGUCCGGGAGAUGCAGGUGCUGCUGGCCCAAGGGCAAUAUUCUACUUAAGAAAUUGGGAUCCCAAGUUCAUUCCCCGGUACCAAAAACAAACAAACAAACAACAAACAAACAAACCAACAACAACAAAAAAAGAAAUUGGGAUAGAUGCGUUGAGAUUGGAGAGAAAGGAGGGCUUUGAGAAUCAAAGAGGAGCAAAGAAAAGAAAGAAUGGGUAAGAGUGAAAAAGAAUGGAGAGUAAUGAUCCCUAGAGAAAGUAUGGCACCAAACACUUUAUUAUAGAAACAUUCUUAAGGAGUACACCCUCAGAUGAGAUCCUAGAUCUCAACCAGCCUGGAGUAAAAGCCACAAACCACCAUCUCCAACCACAGAGCUCUGUUAUGGCCACAAUGGACAGUGACAUGCUCCCUUCUCGUUUUGAGGACUUCAUUGAUGUUCCAGAUUCUGCAGUUGCUUUGGGAUGUCAGGGACUUCAAAAUUAUUUGGGACUGACUUUCUUAUCAUCUACCUGGAAUAAUAAAACUAGGACAGAUUAAAUGUGAUCACAAUUUUUAAAAAUGAUGGAUUUAAGGUUAAGACAAAGUUAGAAAACUGAGUUUGUGGGGUGAGAUUAACAGCUACUGUUUAGGAUGAGGCUGAGGAAAGAAAAGGUGCUGUGGGGAGAAUGAAGAGCAACUUCUAAAAAAGACUAUAUUAGGAAAC
rnacentral:lncRNA from 1 species